rnacentral:lncRNA from 1 species
CCGCGUAGUGGAAUUCUCAGCAGAGUAACCAGUCUUGAGUGAGUCCCUGUUCUGUUAGAUUAGCGCUGUCACCCGAUUCCCAGUUGAUGAAACUGAUUGCCCAUAAUGAGGCCGCCUAGGAGGAAGGAGCAGAAGGGACUCUAGGCAGUGGGUGUGAAGGUUGCUGCAUGCCUCCUCUCAGCCCCAGUGUGGGGUUUGCUUGUCCCCAGUCUGCAUCCUGUUAUGGAGCCUCUGAUGGACCAGCAGCUGUGUAUUGCUGUUGGGAGGUGCUGUUUCAAGCCGGCGUUCUGAGCACCCACGUUCUGUGACCAUUCAUCUCCCAGGGAAACAGCCAGGAACAGGAUUCCUAGAGCUGUCCUGUUGGCAGGCUGUCCUCCACAGAUCAUACCCAGUGCCGCUGGAGGGUGACAGGCAAGAUACAGUUCUAGAGACCUCUACAUGUGUCUGAGAUAAUGAAGACAUCUCCACAUGACCUCACUGGUGAUUUCUCAUCUUUCUCCCUGAACUCUUCUAUUUUCUUCUCCUUACCAUCACUCAUCCAGGUAUUCCAUGUGGUCUCCCAGUCAACCCACCUUGAAUGUCCCAUCACUAAUAUGCCCCAGAUGUCACUGUUAUGGGAUCAUUUGUUCAACAUACUUUCUGAUUUACCUUGUGAGUUCUUCUCUCACUCAUAGAUUAUUUGGAAAUAUAUUUCUUCAUGUUUAAAUAUUGGAGAUUCUUCUGGUUUUCUUUUUUUCUUAUGGACUUCUACCUUGAAAGUAUGAUCAGACAGAAUGUUUUAUUAUUUUAGUCCUUAAUUAUAACUCAGCAUAUGUUUUGUUUGGUGAUUAUUUUUCACAGAGUGGCCUAUGGAUAUUAAUUAGGUCAAUAUGCUGUCAUUCACAUGUAUAGUUGACUGAUUUUUAUGUUUUAGUACUAUAAGAGAUAUAUUAAUUGUCUAAUAUUACUUGUAUUUUUUUAAUUUCUUGUUAAAUUGUGUGAAUUUUGUUUUCUGCCUUUGGAGGCUUUGUUUUUUGUACAUUAACAUUUAUAAUUGUUAUGUCAUCCUAAUGUAUAAUCCAUUUAUUAUGAUGUAAAGCCUUUCUAUAUCUGUGGUGAUAUAUUUUUGUUGAAGAUAUUUUGUUUGCUGCUAACUAAGUUGUCAACUUGAGCUUUUUUUUUAGAGACAUUUUAUUUAUGUGAAAGCAGAAUUGCAGAGAGAUGUAGAGCAAGACAGAGGUCAUGUAUAUGCUGGUUCACUUCUCAAAUGACCACAAUGUUCAGAGCUGAGCUAAUCUGAAGCUGGGAGCCAGGAGCUUCUUCUGGUCUCCCACAUGUGUGUUUGGGCCCAAGGACUUGGGCCAUCUUCUGCUUUCUCAGGCCAUAGUAGAGAGCUGGAAUGAAAGUCAAACAACAGGACUCUAAUGGUGCCCAUAUGGUAUGCCAGCACUGCAGGCUAGGGCUUUAACCCACUGUGCCACAGUGCUGGCUCGAGCUUUUUUUUAUUUUAUUUAUUUAUUUGAAAGGCAGAGUUACAGGUAGGUAGAAAGAGAGCAAAAAGGUCUUCCAUUUGUUAGUUCACACCCCAGAUGGCCACAAUGUCCAGAGCAGCUCUGAUCUGAAGCUAGGAGACAUAAGCUUCUUCUAGGUCUCCCGCAUGGGUACAGGGGCCCAAGGGCUUGGGCCACCUGGUACUAAUUUCCCAGGCCAUAGCUCCCUUGAUCAGAAGUGGAGCAGCUGAGACUCAAACCAACGCCUACAUGGAAUGCUGGCACUGCAGGUUCUACCUGCUACACCACAGUGCCGGCCCCAAGAGCAUUUUAUAAUUAGUUCUUAAGUCAACAACAGGAGUCACUGUGUACUUACUCCUCAUGUGAGAUCUCUUUACUUAAUGUGUUGUUCAAUGUGAAUUCAUGCUAUAACUAGUACUGAAACAGUAUUUUACACUUUAUGUUCUGUGUGGGUGCAAACUGAUGAAAUCUUGACUUAAUAUAUACUAAAUUGUUCUUCCCUAUAUAAAGAUAAUUUAAAAUGAAUCUUGAUGUGAAUGGAAUGGGAGAGGGUGCAAGAUGGGGGGGGUUGUGGGUGGGAGGAAAGUUGGGGGUGGGGAAGCCAUUGUAAUCCAUAAACUGUACUUUGGAAAUGUAUAUUAACUAAAUAAAAGUUUAAAAAAAACCUCUGUCUCUGUCUCU